CGGUAAUACGUAGGGUGCGAGCGUUGUCCGGAAUUACUGGGCGUAAAGAGCUCGUAGGUGGUUUGUCGCGUUGUUCGUGAAAUCUCACGGCUUAACUGUGGGCGUGCGGGCGAUACGGGCAGAUGGAGUACUGCAGGGGAGACUGGAAUUCCUGGUGUAGCGGUGGAAUGCGCAGAUAUCAGGAGGAACACCGGUGGCGAAGGCGGGUCUCUGGGCAGUAACUGACGCUGAGGAGCGAAAGCGUGGGGAGCGAACAGGAUUAGAUACCCUGGUAGUCCACGCCGUAAACGGUGGGUAUAGGUGUGGGUUUCCUUCCUUGGGAUCCGUGCCGUAGCUAACGCAUAAGUACCCCGCCUGGGGAGUACGGCCGCAAGGUAAAACUCAAAGGAAUUGACGGGGGCCCGCACAAGCGGCGGAGCAUGUGGAUUAAUUCGAUGCAACGCGAAGAACCUUACCUGGGUUUGACAUGCACAGGACGUACCUAGAGAUAGGUAUUCCCUUGUGGCCUGUGUGCAGGUGGUGCAUGG
rnacentral:rRNA from 1 species